rnacentral:rRNA from 1 species
UACAGAGGGUGCGAGCGUUGUUCGGAAUUAUUGGGCGUAAAGCGCGCGUAGGCGGAUCGCUAAGUCAGGGGUGAAAUCCCAGGGCUCAACCCUGGAACUGCCUUUGAUACUGACGAUCUGGAGAUCGGGAGAGGUUGGUGGAAUUCCGAGUGUAGAGGUGAAAUUCGUAGAUAUUAGGAAGAACACCGGUGGCGAAGGCGGCCAUCUGGCUCGGUACUGACGCUCAGGCGCGAAAGCGUGGGGAGCAAACAGG